GACGAACGCUGGCGGCGUGCUUAACACAUGCAAGUCGAACGGAAAGGCCCUGCUUUUGUGGGGUGCUCGAGUGGCGAACGGGUGAGUAACACGUGAGUAACCUGCCCUUGACUUUGGGAUAACUUCAGGAAACUGGGGCUAAUACCGGAUAGGAGCUCCUGCUGCAUGGUGGGGGUUGGAAAGUUUCGGCGGUUGGGGAUGGACUCGCGGCUUAUCAGCUUGUUGGUGGGGUAGUGGCUUACCAAGGCUUUGACGGGUAGCCGGCCUGAGAGGGUGACCGGGCACAAUUGGACUGGGGAUACGGCCAGGAUCCUAAGGGGGGGAGGAGGGGGGAAUAUUUGACAAAGGGGCGAAGGCCGAAUGCGGCACCGCGGGGGGGGGAAGAAGGCCUUUGGGGUGUAAACCGGCUUCGGCCUGGAAGGAGGGGGGGGUGCGGUAAUGGGUAAAGAAGCACCGGCUAACUACGUG
rnacentral:rRNA from 1 species